UACGUAGGGGGCAAGCGUUGUCCGGAUUCAUUGGGCGUAAAGAGCUCGUAGGCGGCUUGGCAAGUCGGGUGUGAAACCUCCAGCUCAACCUGGAGACGCCACCCGAUACUGCCAUGGCUAGAGUCCGGUAGGGGACCACGGAAUUCCUGGUGUAGCGGUGAAAUGCGCAGAUAUCAGGAGGAACACCGGUGGCGAAGGCGGUUCUCUGGGCAUUAUCUGACGCUGAGGAGCGAAAGUGUGGGGAGCGAACAGG
rnacentral:rRNA from 1 species